rnacentral:rRNA from 1 species
CCUACGGGCGGCUGCAGUGGGGAAUCAUGGUCAAUGGGCGAAAGCCUGAACCUGCGACGCCGCGUGAGUGAUGAAGGUCGUAAGAUCGUAAAACUCUUUUCAGGGAUCUUAAAGGCAGCGCUCUAACAUAGCGUCUGCUGUGACUAUCCCUGGAAUAAGCCCCAGCCAACUACGUGCCAGCAGCUGCGGUAAUACGUAGGGGGCGAGCGUUAUUCGGAAUUACUGGGUGUAAAGGGUAUGUAGGCGGCCUGACAAGUCGCGUGUCAAAGUCCAGCGCUCAACGCUGGGUUCGCACGCGAUACUGUCAGGCUUGAGGACUGGAGAGGUGAGCGGAAUUCCCGGUGUAGUGGUAAAAUACGUAGAUAUCGGGAGGAACACCAGCGGCGUAGGCGGCUCACUAGACAGUUUCUGACGCUAAGAUACGAAAGCGUGGGGAGCAAACAGGCUUAGAUACCCGAGUAGUC